CUGAGAGACGUUGGAGUCUGAGAGACGCUGGAGUCUGGGAGACGUUGGAGUCUGAGAGACGCUGGAGUCUGAGAGAUGCUGGAGUCAGGGAUGAAACCAGAAUCAUGUGAAACUCGGGUUUGAAUUUCCUCCAUUUUGUUUUCAUCUUUACGGAAAACAUCUUUAACUUCAUCCUUCUGCCUCUGUUCAGCUCCUCUGGGAUCUGAAGUCAAAGGUCAGGUGUCAUUUCAGCUUCUCCUGGUUGUGAAAACAAAACCUGGUUGUCAUGGUUAUGCAUCAAAACAAAAGUGGGUCGGAUCAGAUGGCUGCUGGUACUGAACCAGGCUCUGGUUCUGGUUCUGCUGCAGGUUUCUUCCUGUUAAAAUGAAGCUUUUCCUCUCCACUGUCGCCCCCUGCUGGUCAGGAAGAGUGUGGGACAAUGACUUGAUGCUUUGUUUAGAGUUCCCUCAGGUGUCUGCAGCCAGUUUACCAGGGUGAUGAUGAUGAUGAAGGUCCCUCUGUGAAGCAAGGCUGCCCCCUGCUGGCCGAGCUGAGAACUUAGAGCGCAAAAAUACAAAUCAAACACCGGAUUAAAUUUAAACUCAUAUUCCUGCUGUUAUUAGAGUCCAGAUGAAGAAGGUCGUUGUUAGAGAACCUGCUGCUGUUCUGAUGGAUCGGCGUUGCCAUGGCGACGAACCUGCGUUUGGACUCCUGGACCUCCGUUCAGGCCGGACGCCCCGCUGGCUGCUGGCUGUGUUGCCUUCAGGCGCUGAAGAUGAGGAAGAGGAGGAGCAGCGAGGGC